CUGUCGUGUGGAGUUACGUGCCCUUUGUUGUUGUUUGGCAGUGACAGUGUUACACGUGUUGCAGAGAUGAAAGGAGGUGUACAGCAGUACAGUGCAAAUUUAAAGGUUUAAGAAAAUCGUGAAACUGUCAACUACUAAAAUGGCAUACAGUUACAGAAGGAGAAAUAACUGGCCAAGCAGUAACCCUUUCCAGAGUGUACUAAACAUGCUGAGUAGUAGAGAAGUGCAUGGUUGUUUAGAUGAUAGAGUAUCCUGUGCCUUGUGAAAGAUCCAAAAGUACUUUGUAAAGGGUAAAGAAAGACACAAUUGAUAUGAAAUAAAUUUUUUGAACCAUA